CCUACGGGAGGCAGCAGUGAGGAAUAUUGGUCAAUGGACGAGAGUCUGAACCAGCCAAGUAGCGUGAAGGAUGACUGCCCUAUGGGUUGUAAACUUCUUUUAUAAAGGAAUAAAACGAGGCACGUGUGCCUUUUUGCAUGUACUUUAUGAAUAAGGAUCGGCUAACUCCGUGCCAGCAGCCGCGGUAAUACGGAGGAUCCGAGCGUUAUCCGGAUUUAUUGGGUUUAAAGGGAGCGUAGAUGGGUUGUUAAGUCAGUUGUGAAAGUUUGCGGCUCAACCGUAAAAUUGCAAUUGAUACUGGCAGUCUUGAGUACAGUUGAGGUAGGCGGAAUUCGUGGUGUAGCGGUGAAAUGCUUAGAGAUCACGAAGAACCCCGAUUGCGAAGGCAGCUUACUAAACUGUGACUGACAUUGAUGUUCGAAAGUGUGGGUAGCAAACAGGAUUAGAUACCCUGGUAGUC
rnacentral:rRNA from 1 species